GGAGUUAGGAAAUGCAAGGGUGAUAACACCGCCCUUGUUUGACAAAGGCCUCAGAGGAAGCUCCGGCUAAAUCCGUGCCAGCAGCCGCGGUAAGACGGAUGGAGCGAGCGUUGUUCGGAAUCACUGGGCAUAAAGCGCAUGUAGGCGGCGGCGCAAGUCAGGUGUGAAAUCCCACGGCUCACCCGUGGAACUGCAUUUGAUACUGCGUCGCUAGAGUGAAGGAGGGGAGAGUG
rnacentral:rRNA from 1 species